UAUACAAAUAUCAGUUAAUAAUGCAUAUCUUGACAUAAUUUUUAUCUAGAUUAGUAAUAAUAACAACUGUAAAGCAAAGGAGUAACGUGUACACAUUGUCAAUACUAUCAGGCUGUUCAAUCCAGAGUUUAUGAUGGAUGUUCUCAUUUGUCAAUAUUAAAGAUAAAUUAUUUAAACUGGUCUCAUCUGGAAUCUAACAUUAAUAUAAAUAUAAAUAUAUCCAUAUAUAUAAUAUGAAUAUAUUAUAAAUGUCACCAUACUCCUUCGCUAUUUUAAAAAUUGUAUACACAAGAGUUAUGCACAAUAAUAUGUUCAAAUUGACGUCUAAUAUCUAUAAUACAUAUAGUUCCUGGAUAUACUUACUUCCAAGACAAUUUUGUGCAUAACAUCUAAAUUGGCAAGGUAGGCUUGUGUGUAAUUAUCGUUAUAAAAAAGAUGAGUAACAGCAGUGCACGCAUGGCAUGCUUGAGCUAUAACUGCGCCAACGGGCCAAUUCAUUGUCUUCAGAAGAUCUCCUCUUACUAUCACAUAUUGAACUAGCACGCUCAUCCU